rnacentral:lncRNA from 1 species
UGGCAUACAUUGCUGGAAAGCUCUUCGAGUCUAGUUUCACAUCCUUGAAACGGUUCGUCAUUUGGAGUUUCCAAUUAAAAGUUAUGGUCAGUUUAUUGGAAACUGCUCUGGAGGCCAACAGUCACGCGAAGCCACUUCGGGAAUCUAUUUCGAAGGGACCUUUCACAUUGCCUUCUCUCAGAAACUCUAUUUCGUUUUCAUACCUAUCUAGCAGGGCUGUUGCUAGUAUAAAUAUCCCCUACCUCUAAGCUAUCAGCAACCUUUGAUCAUUUGAUAAACUACAUGAUAUUGCAGCCGUGCUGCUGAGUGCCUUACUCAACCUUUGUUCUUCCUUGUUCUUCAUGGACUUGUGAAGUGAAUCCUCUGGGUUCCCCUACUUCGUGCUCUACGGCUUCCGUUCGGCUGCGCCGUAUUGUGUGGAUUAGUUCUGGAUUGUGGUUCUGCGGUCGUUCGGAGAUCGAGUCGAAGUCUUCGUGGUUUCGGUGCCUCUCUCCCCGUCGCUUGGUCGCAUCCAACCUUUGCCAGGUAUAAAGCUAGUUACCCGCUGUUCGCAGCAAGUUAUCCUUGUUCAUUUGAUCUACUGUCGUGAAGAUCGGGCCACCCUCGUACCGAUUCAUGUCGGUAACCAAUCAGUCUCUAGCUGAUAUUAAUUUUUUCUUGUAUACCUGCAGGGUUCUUGGUGUGGAUGCAAAAGCAUGAUAUGAGAAGAAAAUUAUUUUUACUAGCUAGCUUCUCAUGUCACUCAAAUAUUUGUAUUAUUUUGGGUUCUUGGUGUGGAAGCAAAGACAUGAUUUGAGAAGAAAAUUAUUUUUACUAGCUGGCUUCUCAUGUCACUCAAAUAUUUGUAUUAUUUUGGUAACCUGAAAUGUCUAAGCAUAGUUACUUGUCUUUUAUGGUGUCCAAUGUUGGGAAUGAGUCCUGUUACUGCUGGUAUAGUUCAGUAGACCUACUUCAUCUUAUUUUAUUUUGGCAUGGUGAACUGAUGUUUAUUCUAGUGAAUUUUUGGUUGGAGUAGACCUUGUGCUCAUAUCCUGUUCUCAUUUUCGGUUGAUUGUUCUAAAAUGGGAAGCUUUGUUCACUGCACUUGAUAACAAAAAUAUUCAGUUCAUUAUUCAUUACCAAGUCUAAUUUGAGAUGAGUGAGGUCAUAUUUGUGGUUAUUUCCUUAUAUUAUUCAAAAAAUGUGAUUUUUGUUAGAAAUCGAAUCACUAGAUUGCUCACAAUCACACUCACAACACAAGAAUAAACACACAGGGAGAGAUGG